CGGGAUGUGGCUCAGUUUGGUAGAGCGCUGCGUUCGGGACGCAGAGGCCGCAAGUUCAAAUCUUGUCAUCCCGA
rnacentral:tRNA from 1 species